AACGAACGCUGGCGGCAGGCUUAACGCAUGCAAGUCGAGCGCCCCGCAAGGGGAGCGGCAGACGGGUGAGUAACGCGUGGGAACAUACCCUUUCCUGCGGAAUAGCUCCGGGAAACUGGAAUUAAUACCGCAUACGCCCGAAGGGGGAAAGAUUUAUCGGGAAAGGAUUGGCCUGCGUUGGAUUAGCUAGUUGGUGGGGUAAAGGCCUAACAAGGCGACGAUCCAUAGCUGGUCUGAGAGGAUGAUCAGCCACAUUGGGACUGAGACACGGCCCAAAAUCCUACGGGAGGCAGCAGUGGGGAAUAUUGGACAAUGGGCGCAAGCCUGAUCCAGCCAUGCCGCGUGAGUGAUGAAGGCCUUAGGGUUGUAAAGCUCUUUCACCGGAGAAGAUAAUGACGGUAUCCGGAGAAGAAGCCCCGGCUAACUUCGUGCCAGCAGCAGCCGCCG
rnacentral:rRNA from 1 species